UUUUAAUUGGGGCAGAAAAAGUUCACUUUGAGCUUCAUCUUUUUCCUCAUUUUUUUCUCUCAAGGAGAACUCAUUCACUUCACCGAAAUUAAAAAGCAAGCUCACGAAACUCCGCAGUGAUUCUCACCUUGAGAAUAACAAGGUAAUGUUGUGGUCAUGUCCUCCUUGCCAAGUUUGUGAUCUUGUUGUGGUGUUGUGUAGCUAUGAACGGGAGAAGUAAAGGAGAUAUGUUCAUGAACACUCAUUGGAGAGGAAACGUGAAGAACGACUCUUCAAGAUACUUGACGUUUUCACUCCGGAAUUCCAAAUCCCUUCACUAAGAUGGGUACUUCGAGACCACCUGGGGCAUAUUCGUAUAGCUGGUUUGAAGUUCGUCCCCCAUUGCAAGGAGAUGAAGAAUCUGAAAUUUAGAAAUCAGAUUGAAAUUUGCAAGGAUAUGCUCUAGGCUUGAGAGUAUUUCUUCUCUCUCGAUCGUGAAUAUAUUCGCUGAAUCUGACUAUUUGGAGAUUUUCAAUCUGAUAAUGAUGGAGCUAUUGAUUUUUCUAAAGUUCCUUUUCGUGUUGCUCAGACAAAGGAGCGUGGUGAUGCUUUAUGGAGUGGCUGCCUUCUCUUAUGUUUGUCGUUACCAAAAUGUGUUACCUCAUCAUGUUGCACAUAUAGCUUUUGAGGUUCAGGAGUCUAGUGUUAUCCAGUCUCCUUGUCCUAAGUGGUCUAUACUACUUUUAGCUCAAGAUGUAUUCUUUUAGUCUGUUUGGGUUCAUAUAACAAAAAAAAAAAAAAAAGUGAGAAAGAGACCGAAAGAAGAAACUUUAAUUUAAAUAA